rnacentral:rRNA from 1 species
UGGGGAAUAUUGGGCAAUGGGCGAAAGCCUGACCCAGCGAUGCCGCGUGAGGGAUGAAGGCCUUCGGGUUGUAAACCUCUGUCAGGAGGGACGAUGGGACUUUGUCUUGACGGUACCUCCAGAGGAAGCCCCGGCUAACUCCGUGCCAGCAGCCGCGGUAAUACGGAGGGGGCAAGCGUUGCUCGGAAUUACUGGGCGUAAAGGGUCCGCAGGCUGUCAGGCAAGUUGGUUGUGAAAGCUCAAGGCUUAACCUUGGAAUUGCAUCCAAAACUGCCUGACUAGAGUCCAAGAGAGGUUGGCGGAAUUCCCGGUGUAGCGGUGAAAUGCAUAGAUAUCGGGAGGAACACCAGAGGCGAAGGCGGCCAACUGGCUUGGUACUGACGCUCAGGGACGAAAGCGUGGGUAGCAAACCGG